rfam:Trametes cinnabarina, BRFM137, WGS project CCBP01000000 data, contig: scf184305
GGCGAGAUGGCCGAGCGGUCCAAGGCGCCAGACUAAGGAUCUGGUCCGAAAGGGCGUGGGUUCGAAUCCCACUCUCGUCA